ensembl:rRNA 5S_rRNA 5S ribosomal RNA
GCUUACGGCCACACCUCCCUGAGCACGCCCGAUCUUGUCUGAUCUCGGAAGCUAAGCGGGCUCGGGCCCGGUUAGUACUUGGAUGGGAGACCGCCUGGCAAUACCAGAUGCUGUAAGCC